rnacentral:tRNA from 2 species
GUCGGAUAGCCAAGAGGUAAGGCAUCAGUCUGCAAAACUGACACCAUCGGUUCGAAUCCGAUUCCCGACU